rnacentral:rRNA from 1 species
GAUGAACGCUAGCGGCAGGCUUAAUACAUGCAAGUCGUGGGGCAGCGCAGGUAGCAAUACUGGGCGGCGACCGGCAAACGGGUGCGGAACACGUACACAACCUUCCGAGAAGUGGGGAAUAGCCCAGAGAAAUUUGGAUUAAUACCCGUAACAUAACGAUGUGGCAUCACAUUGUUAUUAUAGCUUCGGCGCUUCUUGAUGGGUGUGCGGCUGAUUAGAUAGUUGGCGGGGUAACGCCCACCAAGUCUACGAUCAGUAGCUGAUGUGAGAGCAUGAUCAGCCACACGGGCACUGAGACACGGGCCCGACUCCUACGGGAGGCAGCAGUAAGGAUAUUGGUCAAUGGGGCGCAAGCCUGAUCCAGCCAUGCCGCGUGU